UGGAAUGGCAGGUAGAAGGCAUCACAUCCAUGCCAUGUGUCUUCCAAAGCUUCUCGCUAAUUUCUGCUCUUUGGUGGAAUCUCUGCAGCUACCGCAGAGAGCAAAAGUCCUGUAAAGGUAAGAAAAACUGAGCAGGGUUUAAAUGCUGGGUGAUCUUGGCCAAGAUACAUCUUCUGAACAGAAAUGCCAAAUGCAGAAAGCAUUAUCUCGAGAUAAAGGCCUUAGGUUGUGUUCUGCUUAAGACCCCGUAUUAAUCUAACGGUAUCAGUGCUGCCAAAUUUGUGUAGUUGAAAAAAUAUCCAUGCUUUAUCCUGACACAGGCAGCACCAGAAAAAAGGUCAGCUGGUGGUCAGCAUCAUGCUUCACUCAUUUGUCAGCACAGAGCUGAAUGUUUCCAGAAAGUGGACAUUUGUACCCUGAGGAGCAUUGUUAAGGAGUUUCCACAGAAAACGAAUGUCAAAAGCAUGAAGAAAUACGUGCAGGAGAGAGAAAAGGAUAAGAAACAAAGAGGAAUCUGAAGUCAAGCUCAGUGGUGACAUAGCUACAUCUCCAGCCGUGUGAUGACAGACAGGUAAGCUGGCAUCUCUGCAGAGGUAAAACAGAUCAGGAUGGAGAAAGGCAACUUUCCAACCUUACCUUCUGUGCUGCAUGCAAACCUGUUAAAUACCAGACCCAUAAAAACCUAAAGAUAAUGGAAAACUGGAAUUAGAGGCAUAAAGUCGUUUGGCAGAAGAUUGCUUUCAAGAACAGUAAUACCAGGAGUGGUGAUAUCUCUGACUGCAAGUUGUUUGAUUGCAACAUUUUCCCUGUUCCGGUUAGUCCUGAUAGGAACUGAAAAGAGGUGGACGAAACCCGGUGACUUUGCCCUGCUGGACUCAUUUCACUUAAUGAUUAUUGCUCAAUGUGAUCAGAGAGAAAACAUAAAUGAAACUUUCUUCACUUAGGGGAAAUGAAACUUCAGAUACACAGGAUAAUUUAAAGCACCUAUAGGUACUCUUCUGCAUAAUUGUAAGCGAUUCAUUUUCAGCUGGUGAAAACUGGAAACCUCUGGCAGACUUUUGCUAGCAAAACUCAGUGGAUUUGCCUGAGCUCGUACCAUUUCCCAAGGUUUAUUUUUCAUUACUCUGUAGUAAUGACACCGAUGCCUCAUUUGCAGCUGCUCUCGAAGAGCCCAGCUGCCCGGCUGGGUGAGAAUGCAGGCAGGAUGCCGUGGCCAGCUGCCUUCCUCCUCAGCUGUGAGCACCGGCCGUCUUCCAUGCUGGAAGCACUGCUCCUUCACUGGUCUCUUCAAGUAUUUCAGGGAAGCAAGCCUAGCAAUAAGGCCAAGCAGAUAAAGGACAGCAGCCCUGUGUUCUUCUGUCCUUCGCUGAUUCAGUUAUCGGUCCUGGGGAAAGCACCGAGUAGGAAUGUUUUGUCCUCACCUGCCUGCACUGCAGUGACCUCACCUUCCUGCCUGCUGGGAAGGGUAUGGUAAAAUCCCAUUUAUGUCUGGCUUUUUUUUUUUUUUGUCAAUUUAGCAGACUGUAGAUAAGGUCCUAACAUGCCAAUGUCUUUGUCACCUAAUUUCUUCCUUUCCAAACAGCGAAGUCCCCUCAGCUCCUGUGAGGGUUAUGGUAUAUCCAGAGGGUUCCCAACGCUGCCAAGCCUGCAGCAACUUCAGUGUUGUAGGAACAGUCAAGGAAGAAAACAUCAGGGACAGGAACCUGCUUCAGUAGUGCAAGUGCCGGCUCAUGACAGUGUGUUUAUGCAUUAAAAGCCCUGCCCGAACAAACCCUGCUGACACUGAGGUGAACUGCUGACUCGUGCGGUGCCUGGCCUAGGUGGGCUGCAGAAAGCACACCAGGUGAAACAGCAGCGAGCAGCCGAGUGCCAAGCUGAUCCCACAUCCAGGAGUUUCGCUGCUGCCAGUCUGCAGAGCAGCCGAGGGGCUUGUGAGGCUGAAGGCUAGGUGCUUUGUUCAAAUUUAUCACCGCUUCCUGUGAGCCUAGAUGAGAAAACGCCCUCAUUGUUCUGUCAAGAUCAAGGAGCUUUGGCACUCAGG